CCUUCGUCUAGAAAUCAUCUAUUGCUAUUUCAAAGUUCAAAUAAAAAUAUUAAUCCAUUAAUAAAUGGCAUUUGAACGAAAAUUACUUGUGGUUGUGGUUUUAUUCUUGUAUAUUUCUGCGAUAUGAUAUAUAAUAUGAUAUAUAAUACGAAUGUCUGCUUGUAGAUGGCGCGCGACACAUACGUCACCAUCAGGGAUCGAAAUGUUCCGGCUGCCGGAGCUACCGGGCCCGCUCAACCUGCUGAUCAGCUGAUAUUUUCGGUAUCGUCAAUUCUUUCCGUUUUCGCCUUUGCUUGUAAAUAUGUGGUCAUAUGUAACCAGUGGUACCAGGUGUAAAAUGUUGUAUCUGCUGAAUCAUGGCAAGUAACUCGGACCAACAGAGGUACAGAGGCUUUCUUUACUAUGACAAAGCAUUUAAUCUGAGGAUUAUCAUUGUAGUGUCAAGUUUGACUAAGGAAAUAACGAGAAGGAGUAUCUGGACAGGGCUGUUGCUAUCAGAUUGUGUACUAUUCCAGAUGGAGCGUUGGUGGCUACCGUUGAAAGAUGCAUGAAGCAAGCUAUCGGCAAUUGAUCUCCAGCAGUGUCAAUACCUGAACUGGUUUCCACCGUACAUCUCAACUGGACCUCGAGAUAUGGCCAAAAGAUGGACAAACAAAGCUCAAGAAGCUGUGAAUUUUGAUAAAGUAUGGUGUACCAUAAGUAUAGUACGUGACUGCAUUAGGAGAGUACAUGGAUUUAUUUCUCAGUCUCUCUCUCUAUUGAGUAAUAAUACACCUGCCUUGCAGGCAACUCGAUAUAGGUAAUACCUUAGAAGACUGACAGGUGUGUGUAUGUCUGCCUGUGCGAGUUUUUUUUCAUUGCUCAUCGGCUGCUUGUCUUAGAGCUUUGGAAUUUAACGUUGCUGCUGUGGUGAGAGUAAGUGCUACAGUCGCUGCUAUCUGGAAUAUCUUUGAUAGCUUUAUCAGUUGUCUGUUUACUAAUAUUGAUACUUAUCUGGUUGGUUCGCUUGAUCUGGAAAUCUGGGAUUUCAGUUAUUUCCUGAUCAUUAGCUACUCUCAUCCCUAUACGAUGGUCUUACAUUUGAGUCAAUCAAUUUCACAUGUCAUCAAAGGACUGCAAUAGUGGAGCUGCUUGAGAUAGAUACUGCCGAUAGAUCUGUCUCGUUUUACGAAUUUCGAGACAGCUUUCUUGUAUUAUUGGGCAAAUCUCAGGAGGGAUUAGAAAUGGAAGUCAAUGGUGAUCCUCAAGCUUCGUGUAAGAACAACACAUUGUGUAUGAGAUACAUUCGUCAGUCAGGAGAGAGGACACAGACAGAGAAUAUGAGUUGUCAACAAUUAAAGAACAGUAAAACCUUUGAUUGUCAAAGUUUACAGGAAACACGGAGUAAUCAGAAUUCACUUUCGAUAUAAGAUAUAAAUGGUUUUUGUAAUGGUGGCGCUACUCUUCCUAAACAACUAAGAUUUAGCGAUUGAGCUUCUUUUCGAAAAACUCGAUCUAGAUAGUGAUGGCUUAAUCAACCGGGAUGAAUUUAUACAUUUUGUUCAAAGUGCUAGUAGUAAAUUUCACAACCAAUCACGUAUAAAUUGGUCUACUCAUCCACAAACAGGUCAGGCAAAGUCAGACAAACAUUUUGUACAUCAUCAGUAGGAGUUCAGGUUAUCGCUGCUCCGAAGAAUGAUCGACUAUGCAUAAUAAUAGUAAAAGAAUUAGAAAGGGUCUGGAUGACUUCCACCGUCAUCAAAUAUUGGGUCAUUCAAUUAUCUUUUUUACUUUAUUUUUAUAUAAAAGUAAGUCUCAUUAAUAAUUUUCUGCUAUAACCACAGUUUAAGAAAACCUAAAUCAUCCUAAUAAGAUCUUUUAAUGUAAUUACAAUCAGCUAAGA